CACGCUGUAAACGAUGAGUGCUAGAUGUUGGGGGUCACACCUCGGUAUCGCCGUUAACACAUUAAGCACUCCGCCUGGGGAGUACGUGCGCAAGCAUGAAACUCAAAGGAAUUGACGGGGACCCGCACAAGCAGCGGAGCAUGUGGUUUAAUUCGAAGCAACGCGAAGAACCUUACCAGGGCUUGACAGGAAACUUAAGACCCUAGAGAUAGGGGGAUAAUAAGUGAAACAGGUGG
rnacentral:rRNA from 1 species